AAAUUGCCUAAAGGAAACAAAAAGUCUCUAAUCAACCACCUGAAUUUAAACAGAAUAAGCUUCAGGGAUUUGAGAGUGUCCGAGGAAUGUACUUUCAUGAAAACAAGAGAAUCAAUAAUACAUAACAUUUCAAUGAACUGGGGACUGGGGAGUACAUUGGUCAUAUUGACUUAUGUACGCCGAGGUUUUCUGAGGAACAAACUCGUCUAGUCUGUAUCCAUUGUAAGAGAUUUCACCUGAAAACUGUGGAAACAAAAGAAAAGGAGGACCAAGCAACAGUGUUAACCUGCAACAAGAAGAAGAAUAAACACAGUUAAACAUUGAUCAAGACUAGUGAUAAGAUAAUGUUAACUCCUUCAACUACCAACCUUCCGGGUUUUAUAAUGCCAUUAACAUCAUUUAGAAUGCUUAUCUUGGCUUCGUGUGCUUUUGCACCAGUGAGCUUCACCAGUUCCUGGAGAAAUAUAAAACUUUUUGAGUACUCACAGAGAUUACGCGCUUAGCAGUGUUCCAUAAUGUUGGAAGUGCUUUCCCUUCAACAAUCUCGCACUCGGC